rnacentral:rRNA from 1 species
AUUGAACGCUGGCGGCAUGCUUUACACAUGCAAGUCGAACGGUAACAGGCCGCAAGGUGCUGACGAGUGGCGAACGGGUGAGUAAUGCAUCGGAACGUGCCCAGUCGUGGGGGAUAACUACUCGAAAGAGUAGCUAAUACCGCAUCCGAUCUAUGGAUGAAAGCGGGGGACCGUAAGGCCUCGCGCGAUUGGAGCGGCCGAUGUCAGAUUAGGUAGUUGGUGGGGUAAAGGCUCACCAAGCCAACGAUCUGUAGCUGGUCUGAGAGGACGACCAGCCACACUGGGACUGAGACACGGCCCAGACUCCUACGGGAGGCAGCAGUGGGGAAUUUUGGACAAUGGGCGCAAGCCUGAUCCAGCAAUGCCGCGUGCAGGAAGAAGGCCUUCGGGUUGUAAACUGCUUUUGUACGGAACGAAACGGCUCUGGUUAAUACCCGGGGCUAAUGACGGUACCGUAAGAAUAAGCACCGGCUAACUACGUG